AGCAUAUCUAUAGCGGAGGAAAAGAAACCAACAGGGAUUGCCUCAGUAACGGCGAAGUGAAGCGGCAACAGCUCAAAUUUGAAAUCUGGCCUCUUUGGGGUCCGAGUUGUAAUUUGUAGAGGAUGUUUCGGGCACCGCUCCGGUUUAAAUUUCUUGGAACAGAAUGUCAUAGAGGGUGAGAACCCCGUCUUGGACCGGCAGUAGGGCCCAUGUGAAACUCCUUCGACGAGUCGAGUUGUUUGGGAAUGCAGCUCAAAAUGGGUGGUAAAUUUCAUCUAAAGCUAAAUAUUGGCCAGAGACCGAUAGCGCACAAGUAGAGUGAUCGAAAGAUGAAAAGCACUUUGAAAAGAGAGUUAAACAGUACGUGAAAUUGUUGAAAGGGAAGCGCUUGCAACCAGACUUGCGCGCGGCGGUUCCCCCUUCCUUCUGGUUGGGUUAUUCCGCCGUGUCCAGGCCAACAUCGGUUCUGGGGGUCGGUUAAAGGCCCGGGGAAUGUAUCUACCCUUCGGGCGUAGACUUAUAGCCCCGGGUGUCAUGCGACCUCCCGGGACCGAGGAACGCGCUUCGGCUCGGAUGUUGGCGUAAUGGUUGUCAGCGACCCGUCUUGAAACACGGACCAAGGAGUCUAACAUCUAUGCGAGUGUUUGGGUGUCAAACCCGGAACGCGGAAUGAAAGUGAACGGAGGUAGGAAGCUUCGGCUGCACUAUCGACCGAUCCUGAUGUCUUCGGAUGGAUUUGAGUAAGAGCAUAGCUGUUGGGACCCGAAAGAUGGUGAACUAUGCCUGAAUAGGGUGAAGCCAGAGGAAACUCUGGUGGAGGCUCGCAGCGGUUCUGACGUGCAAAUCGAUCGUCAAAUUUGGGUAUAGGGGGCGAAAGACUAAUCGAACCAUCUGGUAGCUGGGUCUGC
rnacentral:rRNA from 1 species